rnacentral:rRNA from 1 species
GCGAUCAUACCAGCACUAAUGCACCGGAUCCCAUUAGAACUCCGAAGUUAAGCGUACUUGGGCGAGAGUAGUACUAGGAUGGGUGACCCCCUGGGAAGUCCUCGUGUUGCACCCC